rnacentral:rRNA from 1 species
CAACUUUUAACAAUGGAUCUCUUGGUUCUGGCAUCGAUGAAGAACGCAGCGAAAUGCGAUAAGU